GAUGAACGCUGGCGGCGUGCCUAAUACAUGCAAGGCGAGCGAAUGGAUUAAGAGCUUGCUCUUAUGAAGUUAGCGGCGGACGGGUGAGUAACACGUGGGUAACCUGCCCAUAAGACUAGGAUAACCCCGGGAAACCGGGGCUAAUACCGGAUCACAUUUUAAACCGCAAGUGUCGAACCUUACAGGCGGCCUGGGCUCUCACUUAUGGAUGGACCCGCGUCGCAUUAGCGAGUUGGUGAGGUAACGGCUCACCAAGGCAACGAUGCGUAGCCGUAGUGAGAGGGUGAUCGGCCAAACUGGGACUGAGACACGGCCUAGACUCCUACGGGAGGCAGCAGUAGGGAAUCUGCCGCAAUGGACGAAAGUCUGACGGAGCAACGCCGCGUGAGUGAUGAAGGCUUUCGGGUCGUAAAACUCUGUUGUUAGGGAAGAACAAGUGCUAGUUGAAUAAGCUGGCACCUUGACGGUACCUAACCAGAAAGCCACGGCUAUCUACGUGCCAGCCGCCGCGGUAA
rnacentral:rRNA from 1 species